CCCAAUUUUCAGCCUCUUUUGAGGAAAAAAAGGUUCAUCUUAUACUCCGAAAAAUACAGUAAUCAAUUCAGUGGGUUGUCUCUGCUUUUUGUCCUAACUUUUUUUAAAGGGUUGAGCAUUUAUUGGAUAGGUUUUCAUCUCAUUAGUGCCCUCUUGUGGUUUUCUUUAAAAAAAUGUUUCUUUUCAGGUGUGCAUCACAUGGCAGCUUUCAGUCAGAACUCGAGAGGAGAGCUAUGGAUCAACUGAUGGAACCUGACCUUGGGAUUAUCUGAUGGUAUGAAGUCAGGCAAUGAUUGACAGGCUGCCCUGGCUCAGUUAUCACUGUGCUGAUGCUGUCUAUACUAAAGGUACAGUACUGUGAUAACUGAAGGAUGGUAGCCAUCUUAGCUUCAGAGGAAUUCAACAUGUGGCGAUCAAAGUCAUUACUUUAUUCUGUAACACUUGUGAUGUUUUAUAGAUGAAGAUUAAAGAGAACACAUCUGGAUGCUGGAAAAACACAUUUACAGUUAAAUAAAUAAAGUCCUAAGUACCAUAAAUUGUACUUAGGACUAUUUUAUGUUAUAUUUUUGAAUUAAUAAUUAGCCCCAUAUUAAGCAUUAAUUGGUUUAUCUUAACCACAGUUAAGGCUUGUAAAUCCAGAGAGAAUGACCCAAAAGAAAAACCCAGUAUAUGUUUGUUCUGCCUGCUAAGCUUUCCUUUGUGUAUUUCAGAAGAAACAUGGAAAGACAAGGCACUUUUCUUUCUAACAAUUUGAGUGCGGUUUCUAAUGGAUCUUCAAGAAUAAAAACUAAGUCGUCUGCGAA